UACGUAGGGUGCAAGCGUUAAUCGGAAUUACUGGGCGUAAAGGGCUCGUAGGCGGCCAACUAAGUCAGACGUGAAAUCCCUCGGCUUAACCGGGGAACUGCGUCUGAUACUGGAUGGCUUGAGUUUGGGAGAGGGAUGCGGAAUUCCAGGUGUAGCGGUGAAAUGCGUAGAUAUCUGGAGGAACACCGGUGGCGAAGGCGGCAUCCUGGACCAAUACUGACGCUGAGGAGCGAAAGCCAGGGGAGCAAACGGG
rnacentral:rRNA from 1 species